rnacentral:rRNA from 1 species
AUGGCGGAGGCCUUAGCUCUCAAAUUUGGCCUAAAUUUAGCGCAAAGGGCGGGAUGUAAUCGCCUAAUCAUCAACUCUGACAAUCUGAAGGUGGUUGAGACAAUGCAAGACGGAGGACAGUUUGCGGGAGCGGCGGCGGCGGCAAUCUUCGAUGACUGCUAUCACUAUGCUUGUGAUUUUAUCAUGACUAAAUUCGAACAUUGUAAUAGAGAGGCAAAUAAAGUAGCACAUGAACUUGCUAGAUUAGCUAGAUUUUUUUCGACUUCGGUUUGGUUUGAGGAGCCUAUUAGUGAAAUUGUAACAUUUCUCACAAACGAUGUAUUGGUUAUUGCUAAUGAAUAA